UGGGGAAUAUUGGACAAUGGGGGGCAACCCUGAUCCAGCAAUGCCGCGUGUGUGAAGAAGGUUUUCGGAUUGUAAAGCACUUUCGACGGGGACGAUGAUGACGGUACCCGUAGAAGAAGCCCCGGCUAACUUCGUGCCAGCAGCCGCGGUAAUACGAAGGGGGCUAGCGUUGCUCGGAAUGACUGGGCGUAAAGGGCGUGUAGGCGGUUUGUACAGUCAGAUGUGAAAUCCCCGGGCUUAACCUGGGAGCUGCAUUUGAUACGUGCAGACUAGAGUGUGAGAGAGGGUUGUGGAAUUCCCAGUGUAGAGGUGAAAUUCGUAGAUAUUGGGAAGAACACCGGUGGCGAAGGCGGCAACCUGGCUCAUAACUGACGCUGAGGCGCGA
rnacentral:rRNA from 1 species